rnacentral:lncRNA from 1 species
GUUCAUUCUUAGAAAUAAUGAUUGUUGCCUUUGCAGCAUACCAUUUUUAAUAAGCAUGUAGUUUCAGCUCCAUUGGUUUUUUUAUGUUUUCUUGACUGAAUUUUAAAUACAUGAAUUUUGCUUUGCUAUCAAAAUAAAGGCCUCAACUUACAUAUUAGUGAAAUCUUAGCGAUCUAAACUAGCAGUAUGUGCAAGCAAUUUUGGCUAUGUAGAAGUUGCUGAAAACAAUGCAUAAAACUAAAAAAUAUAUUUAUGAAGAAUCCUGUCAACAGUAUAACCAGAUCUUUUCUACUUGAUUAUGAUUCAGAGAAUGACAAGA